UAUAUUCAGUUUACUUCAACAGAUUUACAAUCUAGACUUUUUUUUUUUAAUAAAAUUAAUUUAAUUUUGAAAAAAUGUCCUGCUACUCAUUUAAAAGCGAUGACGAGGAGUCGGUUGUAUUUUCCGAAGAUAAUAUUGCAACAACAUCUCAAAAAAAGGUACAUCGAAAAGGUUAGCUGUAAAACCGGAGAAGAAACCAGUAUCGAAAAAGACGAAAAAGAGCACUGCUAUUUGUUAUACAGACAAAAUAUUAGAUUUAAUAACAGAUCCAACUAUACCAACCGAUGCAGAGAACACCUUGAAUAUAAAAAAGGAUGAUUGUUCAUUAACGGUUAAGACACCUGUAGACAAUACGGCUGUAGAUUACUGGACUAUAGCACAUUAUAAAUGUGCUAAAAUUGAUAAAGUUGCUCUGCAAGAUAGAUGGAAGCAUGCUGAAUGCUCACUCAAAAUAUCUUUAACAGGACAGCAUCCGGAUGAUUUAACUACAGCCAAAGAAAUGGUGACGCUCAUUCAAUCUGUUUUCGACAAAAUGAUGCGACAUCCCGCCAAGAAGCUAAUCAGACACAAACCAAAAAAAAUAAACUUAUAAAAUGUAUGUAAUAGGAUAUGGUG